rnacentral:rRNA from 1 species
CACGGGGGGAGCAAGCGUUGUUCGGAAUCACUGGGCGUAAAGGGCGUGUAGGCGGUCAAGUAAGUGGAAUGUGAAACGCCUCGGCUUACCCGAGGACCUGCAUCCCAAACUGCUUGGCUUGAGUAUGGGAGAGGAUGAGGGAAUCCCUGGUGUAGCGGUGAAAUGCGUAGAUAUCAGGAGGAACACCGGUGGCGAAAGCGCUCAUCUGGCCCAAUACUGACGCUGAGGCGCGAAAGCUAGGGGAGCAAACGGG